rnacentral:rRNA from 1 species
CCUUUGGCGUCGAGCGGCGGACGGGUGAGUAAUGCUUGGGAAUAUGCCUUAUGGUGGGGGACAACAGUUGGAAACGACUGCUAAUACCGCAUGAUGUCUACGGACCAAAGUGGGGGACCUUCGGGCCUCACGCCAUAAGAUUAGCCCAAGUGGGAUUAGCUAGUUGGUGAGGUAAUGGCUCACCAAGGCGACGAUCCCUAGCUGGUUUGAGAGGAUGAUCAGCCACACUGGGACUGAGACACGGCCCAGACUCCUACGGGAGGCAGCAGUGGGGAAUAUUGCACAAUGGGCGCAAGCCUGAUGCAGCCAUGCCGCGUGUGUGAAGAAGGCCUUCGGGUUGUAAAGCACUUUCAGUAAGGAGGAAAGGUUAAGUGUUAAUAGCACUUAGCUGUGACGUUACUUACAGAAGAAGCACCGGCUAACUCCGUGCCAGCAGCCGCGGUAAUACGGAGGGUGCGAGCGUUAAUCGGAAUUACUGGGCGUAAAGCGUACGCAGGCGGUUUGUUAAGCGAGAUGUGAAAGCCCCGGGCUCAACCUGGGAACUGCAUUUCGAACUGGCAAACUAGAGUGUGAUAGAGGGUGGUAGAAUUUCAGGUGUA